rnacentral:rRNA from 1 species
UGGGGAAUAUUGCACAAUGGGCGCAAGCCUGAUGCAGCCAUGCCGCGUGUAUGAAGAAGGCCUUCGGGUUGUAAAGUACUUUCAGCGGGGAGGAAGGGAGUAAAGUUAAUACCUUUGCUCAUUGACGUUACCCGCAGAAGAAGCGCCGGCUAACUCCGUGCCAGCAGCCGCGGUAAUACGGAGGGUGCAAGCGUUAAUCGGAAUUACUGGGCGUAAAGCGCACGCAGGCGGUUUGUUAAGUCAGAUGUGAAAUCCCCGGGCUCAACCUGGGAACUGCAUCUGAUACUGGCAAGCUUGAGUCUCGUAGAGGGGGGUAGAAUUCCAGGUGUAGCGGUGAAAUGCGUAGAGAUCUGGAGGAAUACCGGUGGCGAAGGCGGCUCUCUGGUCUGUAACUGACGCUGAGGCUCGAAAGCGUGGGGAGCAAACAGG